rnacentral:lncRNA from 1 species
ACAAACUCGUAGGCAAUGGGUCGGUGAUUUGUUUGGAUGAUAUUCAUCAUGCAACAGUUAUAACACGGAGAGAUAUGUGGCUAGCUCCCAUUCGUCAAUGUGAUGUAGGCAUGCAUUCCGUGUGUCAUCAUACGUGCUUAGGGAAAAGAACUUGCAUGACAUCUAUUGUCCAUCCCUCCCGUGGCUGCGGGGUCCAAAAGGAAACUACGGGAUAUUAAGGUUCUCCUUUUAAUAAAGAACCGGACCAACGCAUUAGCACUUGGUGAACACA